rnacentral:lncRNA from 1 species
ACAUUGAUGUACAUAUUCUCCAUUCUUUGUUUCUUCAACAAGGGGUCAGCUUCAUCUACUGGAAAAGGAAGUUAGGAGGCUCAGAGGGCACACAUCUGGAGAACAUCCCGUGGAAAACUUGUGAAUGGGAUACACUGCCCCAUGACUUGGGUUGGACCUCAAGAUGAUCUCAAAACACAUGCAAUUUCCAGAGGAAGCAAAGGAGACUUGACAUACUCCUCAGACAUCACAACUAAUUUUGCCAGAAAGUUCUACCUAGAGAUGAGAAGGAGAGCAAAGGCCCAUUGUGUGUUAGGAGCUCCAUGUGGCAGACCUACAUAGAUGACACAGCUACCUCUCUCAAGACUGUUUAAAUGGCUGAGCCAAGAUGUGACAGAAGUUUACUGCAUUCCAUGAUUUACUUCUGGAACCCAGUGUCAUUAUUGGUCCAACUCAGUUCUUCGAGGUUGUAAGAUUAAAGUUCCUGUUUUGAUUUCCGGUGCAUUUUCUGUUCACUCCUAAAAUCUGCUCUCAUUCCUUGUCAUGCAGUUCUGUCCACCUUCAAACUAGCUAUGGAACACAAAACUUCACUUGUGCUUUGAAUGUCUGCCUUCCUUUUCUGGCACCAGUUAGAGAGAACUCCUGACUUUAAAUGGGUUGUCUGAGUGUGUCCAGACCAAUAAACUGUCCAUCAU